UAUUGGUCAAUGGUCGGGAGACUGAACCAGCCAAGCCGCGUGAGGGAUGAAGGUACAGAGUAUCGUAAACCUCUUUUGUCAGGGAACAAAGGCGGGGACGCGUCCCCGGAUGAGUGUACCUGAAGAAAAAGCAUCGGCUAACUCCGUUCCAGCAGCCGCGGUAAUACGGAGGAUGCGAGCGUUAUCCGGAUUUAUGGGGUUAAAAGGGUGCGCAGCCGGUCGUUAAAGUCAGCGGUCAAAGCCCGGGCCUCAACCCCGGCCCGCCGUUGAAACUGGCAGUCUCGAGUUGGAGAGAAGUAUGCGGAAUGCGCGGUGUAGCGGUGAAAUGCAUAGAUAUCGCGCAGAACUCCGAUUGCGAAGGCAGCAUGCCGGCUCCACACUGACGCUGAGGCACGAAAGCGUGGGUAUCG
rnacentral:rRNA from 1 species